CACGUAGGGCGCAAGCGUUGUCCGGAAUUAUUGGGCGUAAAGAGCGUGUAGGCGGCCAGAUAAGUCCGCUGUGAAAUCUCGAGGCUCAACUUCGAGCUGUCGGUGGAAACUGUCUGGCUAGAGUCCGGAGGAGGAGAAUGGAAUUCCUGGUGUAGCGGUGAAAUGCGCAGAUAUCAGGAAGAACACCCGUGGCGAAGGCGGUUCUCUGGGCCUUACCUGACGCUGAGGAGCGAAAGCGUGGGGAGCGAACAGG
rnacentral:rRNA from 1 species